rnacentral:lncRNA from 1 species
AAACAAACUCAGCAAAGCAGUAUUCCAUGAAUGAUCAUGCCUCAGGAAAGGUCUGUGCUUAAACCUCACUAUUAAACAGAAUUCAAUAAAAGGCCCCCUUGCCUAAGGCCCCCCACCCCUUGCCCUGCAGACGCUUCCCAGCUUGAGGGAAAGUUGGCAGGGCUCCAUUUUGCUAAUCUAUCUCUGGACACAGCUUUUCCUCAGCCUCUGACAUGGGUCAAUUCUGAGUUGUAAUCCAGCCUGUCUUCCGUGGGUCCCUGAGGAAAUUUGAAGACGGAAUGCAACUUGUUUUAUUGAACUGAAAACCAAGUGGCCCAUGUUUGGCUAAGAGCAAAAAAAAAAGAAAGCUCAUGAGAAGAAGCAAAAUGAAACACACGCAGGCUCUUUCACAUGGGCAGGCAGGGUAUGGGAGGACGGUGGGAGGAGGUGGGAAGUGUACAGGAGGCAGCUGAGUUUAUUUUUAACACCAAGUUAAAGGCAUACUCUAUGUUCUUCCCUUUUAAAAAUAGUCUUUUAACCUCUUGAAGCGUUUUGACUAUUCUGCCUGUGGGGUAAUACCCCCUCUGUGGCUGGCAACUCCCACUGGAUCUUUUCCCAUUAGGAGCGUCCUGGCCAAGUACUUAGAAGGAUGGAAAAACCCCAGAAUUUUUCUUCUGAGAACUCCUGAUCAGCAUAUGCAUACAGCUCCUGUGUGCAGAGAGGCUUAUAAACCCUGGCUGCUUCUUUGGACCUUGAGCUUUACAGCAUUUUCCAAAGCUUGAUGGUUUGGAGAAAUGUCCUCUUUUUAAAACAGUCUGGGUUAGUAAAAUGGUGGAGAUAGUCUUUUUGAAGUCCAUUGCAAUAAUUUAUUCAUUGAGCUUAUGAAUGAUACAACACACAUAAAUACACAUUUAUAUCCAUGAAAUUAGAAUAAGUAUGAAUAAUAUAAUAAUAACUGAUCUCUAACACUUAAUGGAGGGCUUACUCUAUGCCAGGCACUGUUUCAUAUAUAUUUAAUGUUUUAAACAAUUCUCUCCAUAAUAUCAUCCCAUUUUACAGUUGAAACAACUUGGGCUCAGGGCCAUUAAGUAACUUGUGAAGAUUGUAAAGUCAGUGAGUGAUUUAAAGGGAAGGAAUUCAAACUCAGGCCAUCAGGCAGUUCAAGUCCACUGCUAGCCCAUUUAUUGAGUCCAUGAUUGAAAAAGGAGCACAUACCUUAAGACCCUUUUGAUUCCAUCUGUUGGGAAGUUAUCAAAUGUACUGAUUUGAUUAGAACAUUUUAUUGCAUUUGCAAGAUAGUUGUCAUAAGAAAAAGCUAAAUCCACAAUGCUGACAAUGUGAAGGGGACCCCCUCCGAUGUGAUCGUUUUGUGCAGUGCAUAACCUGCGCAAAGAUACACGGGUGGCCCUAUGUACACACACACAGCACACACAUGGGUACUUUUGCAGACAUGGCAGUUUUAUGAAGGAAAAAACCAGACUGCUGUAGUUUAAAAGGAGAGGGGAACCUAGUUUUCAGAGGUAAACAGACUGAUCUGAUGUUGGCAACAGCUCUUUCUACAUGCCUCAGUUUUAUAUCAAAUCUUAUAUGAAUCUCUGGAAAUUGUUGUAUUUGUACACAGUACAAAAGUGCCCUACUUUCACUUGUCUUUUCUCCUCCUCUGGGGAAAUAAACGUUUAAUUCACAUUGGAACAGUGUGGCCUACGUAUAUACAUUCAUAUAUAUGUGUUAAGGUGGAGGCGGGGAGGAAAAAUAAAUAGAACAGUUCACAAACCUAGAAGAGUAAAAUUUUAUUGUGGAAGAUUUCAAAAAUAUACUGAAGUAGAUCAAAAAGCAUAAUGAACCCCACUUACGCGCGUGAACCUACCAGCCAGCUGUAGCAAUUAUCAACUAAUUAUCAGCUAAUGACUAGUCUUGCUUCAUCUAUAUUUCUUCUCCGCUCUUACUGAAGCAAAUUUUAAAUAUCAUUUUAUCCAAAAACAUUUAGUACAUUUCACUGCAAGUUGUAAACUGAUUUUGAAAAACAGCUGUAAUUUUAUCAUUAAAUCUCAGCAGAAAUAGUAAUGUCCCUGAUGUCAUCAUAUAUCUAAUCAGUGUUCAAAAUUUCAACUGUCUUCCAAACGUCCUAGAUUUUCUUUUGUUUGUUGUUUUCACCUUGUGUUUGUUUUAAAUGAGAAUCAACUAAGUUCAAACACCACAUUGGUAGUAAAGUCUCUGUCUCUUUAAAUCGGCAAGUUCUCCCUUCAUCUUUCUUUUCCACAGUCUGGAUUUCGCUGACAUGCUGAUAUGGCAUCUUCAUAAUGUAGUUUAACAUGUUUCUCUGCAGCAGAAUCAUUUCUAGGAGGAGUCCAGGCAUCUGAAUAUUCUUUUAUGGUAGUUAGGUGAAUAUGAACCACAGCUAGGCUUGGAAAGACUAGGAAAAUCUUAGUGUCUUCUCCCAGAUUUCUUAAUGUGUUGGUUGAAGAAAUGAAACUUUUUUUUUUUGUCUUUUUUUUUAGGGCCACACCUGUGGCAUAUGGAAGUUCCCAGGCUAAGGGUCAUGGCUAUAGCUGCUGGGUUAUACCAUAGCCGCAGCAAUACAGGAUCCUUAACCCACAGAGCAAGGUCAGGGAUUGAACCCGCAUCCUUGUGGAUCCUAGUCGGUUUGUUACUGCUGAGCCACAACAUGAACUCCACGAAACUCUUUCUUGAUUAUUAUAAUGAAAACAAUAUGUCCACCACCUGUUUUUUUGUAUUUUUGGUUGGUUGUUUUGGUUUUUUGUUGUUGUUGUUGUUGUUUUUAGGGCCGCACAUGGAAGUUCCCAGGCUAGGGGUCAAAUCGUAGCUGCAGCUGCCUGCCCACACCACAGCCAUGGCAACACGGGAUGCAAGCCAAGUCUGCAAACUACACCACAGCUCAUGGCAACGCUGGCUCCCUAGCGCACUGAACAAGGCCAGGGAUCAAACCCACAUCCUCACGGAUCCUAGCUGGGUUUGUUACCACUGAGCCACAAUGGGAACUCCUGUCCACCACCUGUUGAUAGGUAAAGAACCCUUUUUGCUUGUUGAGGGCACAUAGAAUCCCUAGGGUAAAAUUUCCUGUUCUCCAGGAGAACUAUUUCUCAGCCAGGCUUGAGAGGGGGCAAUAGGCCUGCACUGAUGGCACAAGAAAAAAGAGAAUCUCCCAAGGGGUGAUUUGCUUUCAGCUGGGACCAUGUGAGAACCAGUAACCAGCUGGAAAAUUGCCAAUUAACCAGCAAAGCCUCUAUUUUAAGUCAAAGGCCAUUAGGUUCUCUGGGCUCAGCUUUACAGCCUACUUCUCUGCAGAAUCUAUUGCACCAAUAUCCUUGCUAGGCAGAGGCAGGCUUCAUCCUUGCUGUGGAAGAAACAGUGAUGCUAUCUGUCCUGGGCUGCUCUGCCUCUUGGUCAGCAGCCUGACCUUUCUUGUGUCUCUUGAAGAUUCAAGAUAAUUAAAAAAUAAUAAGCGCAUUGCAGUUUCUUGGAAAGGUUGGGGUUUUGAACGUUUCCCUUCCCCAUUUCCACCUUGCUCGUCAGCACUUGCCCCAUUCCCUGAUGUUGCCCUUGCCCGGAGAGGUGUUUGCACAGUGCUUAUUAUCCGAGAGCCUGGGGUCAAGGUUUGCUCUGCAACCUCACUGUCUAUCUGGGUGACCUUGGAUAGGCCACUUGAUUCUCUGAGCACUGAUAGCUUUACCUGUAAAUAAAGAUUGUAUCAAAUGCUCUGCUUAUCUCAUGAAGAUGUAGUGAAGACCAAAUCAAGAGGCAAUGUAAAUGGGUAUGUGUCUAUGUAUGACUGAUCACUUUGUUGUACAGCAGAAAUUAUCACGACCUUGUAAAUUAAUGAUACUUCAAUAAAACUUACAAGAGUUAAUGUAGGUGAAAGGCCUUCAUUGAGCUGUAAAGCACUGCCCAGUGCCCUUGCUGCUUGCUGCCUCAACUACAUCUGUUCAAUCCUGGCUGACCGUGUAGAAGAAGUCACAUGAAUUUUAGAGGCUAAUAAGGUCCCAUUGCUUUUUGGCUGUACCAUUUUGGGAAAUUUGGGCUCUGAGCCUUGGUUUCCUCAUACAUAAAAUGGAGAUCAUUUUUCUGGUUUUUUUUUUUUUUUUAAAUGGCCGAACUGGUGGUGUAUGCAAGUUCCCAGGCCAGCGAUUGAAUCCGAGCCACAGCUGUGAUUUAUGCCGCAGCUUCAGCAAUGCAGGAUCCUUAACCCACUGAGCUGGGCCAGGGAUCAAACCGCAUUAACCUGAGCAGCUGCAGUUGGAUUCUUAACCCACUGCACCACAGUGGAAACUCCUAUCUGGCAUUCGUUUACUUACAUCUUUAUUACUUUACACCACAUCCUGACCUACCAUCGUUAUGCGGACUAACGCUGAAGCACCUCACUUAGAUUUGGCAACCAGUAAGGUCUCAGGACAUGGUAAUUCUUUUUCCUGUUCUGUUCUUGGCGAUUGGACAGAUGCCUUCCUAUAUAAAGAAAGAUCUCUUCCUCUAGAUUGCUGAGGACAGAACUGUCUUCUUGCUCCUCCAUCCUUGCCUAUGAGGAUAUUUGCUUAUAGGCCAGAUAAUGCUUUGAAUUCUCUUCGUAAGUCUGUGGACUAGGAAAUCAUAUAAUGAAGCAGUGCUCUUAUAUUACUUGGGAAUAAAGAUUCUUCAACAGCUUGUACAAAAGAUUUGGCUGACCGCAAAAUUAGCAUGAGUCAGCAGAGUAAGGGAGUAAGCAGAAAUCAAUGAAUUUGGGGAAACACUUAUGUAAGGUCUAAUCCAUUCCUCCUCCUGGGCUCAUCCUACUUGUGUAGGUCACACUGUAUCUGGAGUAAAGGACUCAGUUUAAGAUGCUAGGCCCCAGAUGAGGAGAGCUGACAAAGAUCUUGGGGUUCCAUGUGCUUGAGUAACUGUUAGAAAAACCGAGGAAGCGUUCCUGCUGUGGCACAGUCAGGUAAAAAUCUGGCUGCAGUGGCUUGGUUACUGUGGAGGUGUGGGUUUGAUACCUGGCCUGGUGCAGUGGGUUAAAGGGUCUGGCAUUGCGACAGCUGUGGCAUAGGUCAUAGCUGUGGCUUGGAUUCAAUCCCUGGUCCAGGAACUUCCAUAUGC